rfam:Schistosoma rodhaini strain Burundi genome assembly, scaffold: SROB_scaffold0000226
AUCCAACUGACGAGUCCCAAAUAGAACGAAACGCGCAUCCUGGAU